rnacentral:rRNA from 1 species
GUCUAUGGCCAUGCCACCCUGAACAAGCCCAAUGCUUGAUCUUGGAAGCUAAGCAGGGUUGGUCCUGGUUAGUAUUUGGAUGGGAGACCACCCAGGAAGACCAGAUGCUGUAGGCA